UACGGAGGGUGCAAGCGUUAUCCGGAUUCACUGGGUUUAAAGGGUGCGUAGGUGGGUUGGUAAGUCAGUGGUGAAAUCUCCAGGCUUAACUUGGAAACUGCCAUUGAUACUGUUAAUCUUGAAUGCCGUGGAGGUCAGCGGAAUAUGUCAUGUAGCGGUGAAAAUGCUUAGAUAUGACAUAGAACACCCAUUGCGAAGGCAGCUAACUACGCGAUAAUUGACGCUGAUGCACGAAAGCGUGGGGAUCAAACAGGA
rnacentral:rRNA from 1 species